GACGAACGCUGGCGGCGUGCUUAACACAUGCAAGUCGAACGGAAAGGCCCCUUUGGGGGUACUCGAGUGGCGAACGGGUGAGUAACACGUGAGUAACCUGCCCUUGACUUCGGGAUAACUUCAGGAAACUGGGGCUAAUACCGGAUAGGAAUCCUUGCUGCAUGGUGGGGGUUGGAAAGCUUCGGCGGUUUUGGAUGGACUCGCGGCUUAUCAGCUUGUUGGUGGGGUAGUGGCUUACCAAGGCCUUGACGGGUAGCCGGCCUGAGAGGGCGACCGGCCACAUUGGGACUGAGAUACGGCCCAGACUCCUACGGGAGGCAGCAGUGGGGAAUAUUGCACAAUGGGCGGAAGCCUGAUGCAGCAACGCCGCGUGCGGGAUGACGGCCUUCGGGUUGUAAACCGCUUUCAGCAGGGGCGAAGCUUGUGGUGACGGUACCUGCAGAAGAAGCACGGGCUAACUACGUG
rnacentral:rRNA from 1 species